UUGAGGAGGGUGACGGGCGGUGUGUGCGCAUUCUAGAUCUUGUUUUAUUUUUUAUUUCUUUAAAAAAUUACUGUUAAAUCCUUUUUUAUUAAAUUAUUUAAGAUCUAAAUCCUCAAUUAUUAAGUAAAGUAGUUCAUAUAUCUCCAGUUUAUUGGCUGCACCUUGAUCUGGCGUUUAGCUUAAUGCUUGAGGCUUACGUUCUUUAAGGUUAGCUGGCGACGAUGGUAUACAGGCUGUAAUCAAAAACUGGUGAGGUUUCUCGUGGAUUAUCGAUUGGAUUACAAGCUCCUCUAAAAAGGUUUAGAAAACCGCCAAGUUCUUUAAGUUUAAAUUAAUUUAAUUAUACUUCUCUGGUGUUGAAAGGUUUUUGGGUAAAGUAUAGUGGGGUAUCUAAUCCCAG
rnacentral:rRNA from 1 species